UAGUCAAUCACAUAACAAAACAGAACACCGAAGCAAUAUGGCCGUGUUGAGAAGUUUUCUUUUGUUGACAGCGAUUCUGUUUGCUGCAGACUUCGCCUAUGCGAAGAAUAAGUACCACCCGACAGUUACUUACUUUAGGCGUAAACUUGCGGAUGGAAGCGAUGCUGAUGCCCAGGUUCGCGUCAAGUUCCCGGAUAAAGUUAUCAAAGAUUUUGACGAGAGAGCAACCCUUUAUGUUAAACCAAGUUACAUAAACAACGGCGAAGAAGUAACAGUUGUUUGGGCAGGGGUUGUAAACGCUACAAAAGAUGAUAUCAUUGGGUUUUACUGCCCUAAAACAGACCCAGCAAAACAUUAUCUCGACUACAUCGACGUGACAGCCUGCCCUACUUGGGCCAAAGGCUUUGGAAAUUACACGGUCAAGUUGUAUAACAUGCGUAGUGUGUGCGAAUUUCGUUACUACAGGAAGAGAUCGACCUGGACUGCUGUUAGCAAUGAAGUUGUUUUCAAGGGUGGAGUCGACGAGCCGCUCAUGGGACAUCUGUCAUUGACGGGAGAUCCUACCGAGAUGAGGGUCAUGUGGAUUUCUGGGACAGCUGAAAAGCCAUUAGUGUUGUAUGGGGAAGGGCCCUCAGUCCCUCUAGAAGCAACAGGCACUACCAGGACCUACAAUGCAAGUAACAUGUGUGGCCCCCCCGCCUCCACUGAUGGUUAUUGGGACCCUGGAUAUAUACACGACGUCUUGCUGACUGGACUGAAGCCAAGUACUCGUUACUACUACACAUAUGGCUCCUAUAAGAUGUUGGCAGAGAAGCACAGCUUUCGCACAGGGCCACCCAUUGGUCCAGAUGCCUCUUACAGGUUCAACGUGUUUGGUGACAUGGGGAUCCUUCCUGCUGCAACUCCAAUUGCUAAUGAAAUGGUGAAAGAAGCAAAAAAUGGCUCAUCAUUUCUGUUCCAUAAUGGAGAUCUUGGAUAUGGCUUGGGAUAUCUGCAUGUGUGGGAGCAGUGGCAGAACUUGAUUGAGCCCUUUGUCACCCUCAUGCCGCACAUGAUUGGUGUCGGCAACCAUGAGUAUGACCACGCCUUUGGAGGGAAGAACGACCCAAGCGGUGCACCAGGGAAUGGUUUCCAUCCCUGGUGGGCGGGCCCAAAUGAGUACGGAAACGAUUCCUAUGGUGAAUGCGGGGUCCCUACCAACAUGAGGUUUCAUAUGCCAGACAAUGGAAACUCUGUUUUCUGGUACAGCUUUAACUAUGGUAGUAUGCAUUUGAUUAUGAUGAGCACAGAGCACGACUUCACAAAGGGCUCUCCUCAGUAUCAAUGGCUUCAAAAGGACUUAGCAGAUAUUGAUCGCUCUGUUACUCCCUGGGUAGUAAUUGGUGGCCACCGUCCAAUGUACACCUCACAACAGAUCAUUGGUGAGUAGAUAGUGUCCUUACUGUAGCAAUGUACACCUCACAACAGAUCAUUGGUGAGUAGAUAGUGUCCUUACUGUAGCAAUGUACACCUCACAACAGAUCAUUGGUGAGUAGAUGGUGUCCUUACUGUAGCAAUGUACACCUCACAACAGAUCAUUGGUGAGUAGAUAGUGUCCUUACUGUAGCAAUGUACACCUCACAACAGAUCAUUGGUGAGUAGAUAGUGUCCUUACUGUAGCAAUGUACACCUCACAACAGAUCAUUGGUGAGUAGAUGGUGUCCUUACUGUAGCAAUGUACACCUCACAACAGAUCAUUGGUGAGUAGAUGGUGUCCUUACUGUAGCAAUGUACACCUCACAACAGAUCAUUGGUGAGUAGAUGGUGUCCUUACUGUAGCAAUGUACACCUCACAACAGAUCAUUGGCGAGUAGAUGGUGUCCUUACUGUAGCAAUGUACACCUCACAACAGAUCAUUGGUGAGUAGAUGGUGUCCUUACUGUAGCAAUGUACACCUCACAACAGAUCAUUGGUGAGUAGAUGGUGUCCUUACUGUAGCAAUGUACACCUCACAACAGAUCAUUGGUGAGUAGAUGGUGUCCUUACUGUAGCAAUGUACACCUCACAACAGAUCAUUGGCGAGUAGAUAGUGUCCUUACUGUAGCAAUGUACACCUCACAACAGAUCAUUGGUGAGUAGAUAGUGUCCUUACUGUAGCAAUGUACACCUCACAACAGAUCAUUGGUGAGUAGAUAGUGUCCUUACUGUAGCAAUGUACACCUCACAACAGAUCAUUGGUGAGUAGAUGGUGUCCUUACUGUAGCAAUGUACACCUCACAACAGAUCAUUGGUGAGUAGAUGGUGUCCUUACUGUAGCAAUGUACACCUCACAACAGAUCAUUGGUGAGUAGAUGGUUUCCUUACUGUAGCAAUGUACACCUCACAACAGAUCAUUGGUGAGUAGAUAGUGUCCUUACUGUAGCAAUGUACACCUCACAACAGAUCAUUGGUGAGUAGAUGGUGUCCUUACUGUAGCAAUGUACACCUCACAACAGAUCAUUGGUGAGUAGAUAGUGUCCUUACUGUAGCAAUGUACACCUCACAACAGAUCAUUGGUGAGUAGAUGGUGUCCUUACUGUAGCAAUGUACACCUCACAACAGAUCAUUGGUGAGUAGAUGGUGUCCUUACUGUAGCAAUGUACACCUCACAACAGAUCAUUGGUGAGUAGAUGGUUUCCUUACUGUAGCAAUGUACACCUCACAACAGAUCAUUGGUGAGUAGAUAGUGUCCUUACUGUAGCAAUGUACACCUCACAACAGAUCAUUGGUGAGUAGAUGGUGUCCUUACUGUAGCAAUGUACACCUCACAACAGAUCAUUGGUGAGUAGAUAGUGUCCUUACUGUAGCAAUGUACACCUCACAACAGAUCAUUGGUGAGUAGAUGGUGUCCUUACUGUAGCAAUGUACACCUCACAACAGAUCAUUGGUGAGUAGAUGGUGUCCUUACUGUAGCAAUGUACACCUCACAACAGAUCAUUGGUGAGUAGAUAGUGUCCUUACUGUAGCAAUGUACACCUCACAACAGAUCAUUGGUGAGUAGAUAGUGUCCUUACUGUAGCAAUGUACACCUCACAACAGAUCAUUGGUGAGUAGAUGGUGUCCUUACUGUAGCAAUGUACACCUCACAACAGAUCAUUGGUGAGUAGAUGGUGUCCUUACUGUAGCAAUGUACACCUCACAACAGAUCAUUGGCGAGUAGAUGGUGUCCUUACUGUAGCAAUGUACACCUCACAACAGAUCAUUGGUGAGUAGAUGGUGUCCUUACUGUAGCAAUGUACACCUCACAACAGAUCAUUGGUGAGUAGAUGGUGUCCUUACUGUAGCAAUGUACACCUCACAACAGAUCAUUGGUGAGUAGAUGGUGUCCUUACUGUAGCAAUGUACACCUCACAACAGAUCAUUGGCGAGUAGAUAGUGUCCUUACUGUAGCAAUGUACACCUCACAACAGAUCAUUGGUGAGUAGAUAGUGUCCUUACUGUAGCAAUGUACACCUCACAACAGAUCAUUGGUGAGUAGAUAGUGUCCUUACUGUAGCAAUGUACACCUCACAACAGAUCAUUGGUGAGUAGAUGGUGUCCUUACUGUAGCAAUGUACACCUCACAACAGAUCAUUGGUGAGUAGAUGGUGUCCUUACUGUAGCAAUGUACACCUCACAACAGAUCAUUGGUGAGUAGAUGGUUUCCUUACUGUAGCAAUGUACACCUCACAACAGAUCAUUGGUGAGUAGAUAGUGUCCUUACUGUAGCAAUGUACACCUCACAACAGAUCAUUGGUGAGUAGAUGGUGUCCUUACUGUAGCAAUGUACACCUCACAACAGAUCAUUGGUGAGUAGAUAGUGUCCUUACUGUAGCAAUGUACACCUCACAACAGAUCAUUGGUGAGUAGAUAGUGUCCUUACUGUAGCAAUGUACACCUCACAACAGAUCAUUGGUGAGUAGAUGGUGUCCUUACUGUAGCAAUGUACACCUCACAACAGAUCAUUGGUGAGUAGAUGGUGUCCUUACUGUAGCAAUGUACACCUCACAACAGAUCAUUGGUGAGUAGAUGGUGUCCUUACUGUAGCAAUGUACACCUCACAACAGAUCAUUGGUGAGUAGAUGGUGUCCUUACUGUAGCAAUGUACACCUCACAACAGAUCAUUGGUGAGUAGAUGGUGUCCUUACUGUAGCAAUGUACACCUCACAACAGAUCAUUGGCGAGUAGAUAGUGUCCUUACUGUAGCAAUGUACACCUCACAACAGAUCAUUGGUGAGUAGAUAGUGUCCUUACUGUAGCAAUGUACACCUCACAACAGAUCAUUGGUGAGUAGAUGGUGUCCUUACUGUAGCAAUGUACACCUCACAACAGAUCAUUGGUGAGUAGAUGGUGUCCUUACUGUAGCAAUGUACACCUCACAACAGAUCAUUGGUGAGUAGAUGGUGUCCUUACUGUAGCAAUGUACACCUCACAACAGAUCAUUGGUGAGUAGAUGGUGUCCUUACUGUAGCAAUGUACACCUCACAACAGAUCAUUGGUGAGUAGAUGGUGUCCUUACUGUAGCAAUGUACACCUCACAACAGAUCAUUGGUGAGUAGAUGGUUUCCUUACUGUAGCAAUGUACACCUCACAACAGAUCAUUGGUGAGUAGAUAGUGUCCUUACUGUAGCAAUGUACACCUCACAACAGAUCAUUGGUGAGUAGAUGGUGUCCUUACUGUAGCAAUGUACACCUCACAACAGAUCAUUGGUGAGUAGAUGUUGUCCUUACUGUAGCAAUGUACACCUCACAACAGAUCAUUGGCGAGUAGAUAGUGUCCUUACUGUAGCAAUGUACACCUCACAACAGAUCAUUGGUGAGUAGAUAGUGUCCUUACUGUAGCAAUGUACACCUCACAACAGAUCAUUGGUGAGUAGAUGGUGUCCUUACUUUAGCAAUGUACACCUCACAACAGAUCAUUGGUGAGUAGAUGGUGUCCUUACUGUAGCAAUGUACACCUCACAACAGAUCAUUGGUGAGUAGAUGGUGUCCUUACUGUAGCAAUGUACACCUCACAACAGAUCAUUGGUGAGUAGAUAGUGUCCUUACUGUAGCAAUGUACACCUCACAACAGAUCAUUGGUGAGUAGAUGGUGUCCUUACUGUAGCAAUGUACACCUCACAACAGAUCAUUGGUGAGUAGAUGGUGUCCUUACUGUAGCAAUGUACACCUCACAACAGAUUAUUGGUGAGUAGAUGGUGUCCUUACUGUAGCAAUGUACACCUCACAACAGAUCAUUGGUGAGUAGAUAGUGUCCUUACUGUAGCAAUGUACACCUCACAACAGAUCAUUGGUGAGUAGAUGGUGUCCUUACUGUAGCAAUGUACACCUCACAACAGAUCAUUGGUGAGUAGAUAGUGUCCUUACUGUAGCAAUGUACACCUCACAACAGAUCAUUGGUGAGUAGAUAGUGUCCUUACUGUAGCAAUGUACACCUCACAACAGAUCAUUGGUGAGUAGAUAGUGUCCUUACUGUAGCAAUGUACACCUCACAACAGAUCAUUGGUGAGUAGAUGGUGUCCUUACUGUAGCAAUGUACACCUCACAACAGAUCAUUGGUGAGUAGAUGGUGUCCUUACUGUAGCAAUGUACACCUCACAACAGAUCAUUGGUGAGUAGAUGGUGUCCUUACUGUAGCAAUGUACACCUCACAACAGAUCAUUGGUGAGUAGAUGGUGUCCUUACUGUAGCAAUGUACACCUCACAACAGAUCAUUGGUGAGUAGAUGGUGUCCUUACUGUAGCAAUGUACACCUCACAACAGAUCAUUGGUGAGUAGAUGGUGUCCUUACUGUAGCAAUGUACACCUCACAACAGAUCAUUGGUGAGUAGAUGGUGUCCUUACUGUAGCAAUGUACACCUCACAACAGAUCAUUGGUGAUUACAUGAUCUCUAUUGGAAUGCGGCACUACUUUGAGGACCUGCUCCUGCAAUAUAAAGUGGACAUGGCGUUCUGGGCUCAUUACCACAGUUAUGAGCGCACAUGCCAAGUCAACAACACCAUCUGCCAGAA